AUUGAACGCUGGCGGCAAGCCUAACACAUGCAAGUCGAACGGUAGCAGGUCCUUCGGGAUGCUGACGAGUGGCGGACGGGUGAGUAACGCGUAGGAAUCUACCCAGUAGCGGGGGAUAGCCCGGGGAAACUCGGAUUAAUACCGCAUACGCCCUAAGGGGGAAAGCAGGGGAUCUUCGGACCUUGCACUAUUGGAAGAGCCUGCGUUGGAUUAGCUAGUUGGUAGGGUAAAGGCCUACCAAGGCGACGAUCCAUAGCUGGUCUGAGAGGAUGAUCAGCCACACUGGGACUGAGACACGGCCCAGACUCCUACGGGAGGCAGCAGUGGGGAAUAUUGGACAAUGGGCGAAAGCCUGAUCCAGCAAUACCGCGUGUGUGAAGAAGGCCUGCGGGUUGUAAAGCACUUUCAAUUGUGAAGAAAAGCUUAGGGCUAAUACCUCUGAGUCUUGACGUUAACUUUAGAAGAAGCACCGGCUAACUCCGUGCCAGCAGCCGCGGUAAUGUG
rnacentral:rRNA from 1 species